rnacentral:rRNA from 1 species
AUUGAACGCUGGCGGCAUGCCUUACACAUGCAAGUCGAACGGUAACAGGUCUUCGGAUGCUGACGAGUGGCGAACGGGUGAGUAAUGCAUCGGAACGUGCCCAGUAGUGGGGGAUAGCCCGGCGAAAGCCGGAUUAAUACCGCAUACGACCUGAGGGUGAAAGGGGGGGAUCGCAAGACCUCUCGCUAUUGGAGCGGCCGAUGGCAGAUUAGCUAGUUGGUGGGGUAAAGGCCUACCAAGGCAACGAUCUGUAGUUGGUCUGAGAGGACGACCAGCCACACUGGGACUGAGACACGGCCCAGACUCCUACGGGAGGCAGAAGUGGGGAAUUUUGGACAGUGGGCGCAAGCCUGAGCCAGCAAUGCCGCGUGCAGGAAGAAGGCCUUCGGGUUGUAAACUGCUUUUGUCAGGGAAGAAAUCUUCUGGGUUAAUACCUCGGGAGGAUGACGGUACCUGAAGAAUAAGCACCGGCUAACUACGUGCCAGCCGCCGCAGUAACAC